rnacentral:tRNA from 1 species
GCGGACGUGGUGGAAUUGGUAGACACGCCAGAUUUAGGAUCUGGUGCCUUCGGUGUGAGAGUUCGAGUCUCUCCGUCCGCA